rnacentral:rRNA from 1 species
ACACAUGCAAGUCGAGGGGCAGCAUCGCGAUAGCUUGCUAUUGCGGAUGGCGACCGGCGCACGGGUGAGUAACGCGUAUCCAACCUUCCCGCAACUGGGGAAUAACCUUGCGAAAGUAAGACUAAUACCCCAUGGUCUCCACGGAUGGCAUCUGAAGUGGAGUAAAGGUUUCGGCCGGUUGCGGAUGGGGAUGCGUCCGAUUAGCUUGACGGCGGGGUAACGGCCCACCGUGGCAUCGAUCGGUAGGGGUUCUGAGAGGAAGGUCCCCCACAUUGGAACUGAGACACGGCCCAAACUCCUACGGGAGGCAGCAGUGAGGAAUAUUGGUCAAUGGGCGGAAGCCUGAACCAGCCAAGUAGCGUGAAGGACGACUGCCCUAUGGGUUGUAAACUUCUUUUAUGCGGGGAUAAAGUUCGCCACGUGUGGCGUUUUGCAGGUACCGCAUGAAUAAGGACCGGCUAAUUCCGUGCCAGCAGCCGCGGUAAUACGGAAGGUCCAGGCGUUAUCCGGAUUCAUUGGGUUUAAAGGGAGCGUAGGCCGCCUUUUAAGCGUGUUGUGAAAUGUAGGGGCUCAACCCCUGCACUGCAGCGCGAACUGGAGGGCUUGAGUACACACAAAGUAGGCGGAAUUCAUGGUGUAGCGGUGAAAUGCUUAGAUAUCAUGAAGAACCCCGAUUGCGAAGGCAGCUUACUGGAGUGUAACUGACGCUGAAGCUCGAAAGCGCGGGUAUCGAACAGGAUUAGAUACCCUGGUAGUCCGCGCGGUAAACGAUGGAUGCCCGCUGUUUGCCAAUUUGGUAAGCGGCCAAGCGAAAGCGUUAAGCAUCCCACCUGGGGAGUACGCCGGCAACGGUGAAACUCAAAGGAAUUGACGGGGGCCCGCACAAGCGGAGGAACAUGUGGUUUAAUU